CUUGCUGAAUAUUUCAAAAUCAUAAAGAAUUUGUAGAUCAAAAUUAAAUUGAUGUUGGAGAGAGAUCAUCUAUUCAGUUUAAUAACUGAAACUGAAUACUAAUGACAAUGAUGAGGGCUUUUAUUUUGGAGUGGAGCUGUGACGUCAUGCGGCUGCUGUGUUUCUCGGCUGAGGAAAGAUCAGUGUUUUGAAGCAUUCAGCGUUAAAGUCACAGCAAACCGUUCAGACCUGAUGGCGAUAAAAGAGGAGAAUGAAGAAUUGGAUGAAACACAAGAGAAAGACCAUCAUGAUUUCACAACUGGAGAAAAAUCAUUUAGUUGCUCACAGACUGAAAAGACUUCCUCACGAAAAACAGCA